UGUGCGGUUGCCGAAUCAUUACGUAAAAGUUUCGGCGGAUAUGAGAGCGGACCUGGGGGUUUGGAAAAGGUUUCUAAGGGAAUUUAACGGUAUAGUGUUUUUUCGGGAGCUGGGAGUAUCCUCCAAGGACAUUGGCUUGUUUACAGACGCCUCCGGGAGCGUGGGGUUUGGGGCUUAUUUAGCGGGACAAUGGUGCGCCGAGGAGUGGCCGGCGGAGUGGAAGACGAGCUCGCUGAUAAGGAACCUCGCGUUCCUAGAAUUUUUCCCGGUGGUGGUAGCGGUGGCGUUAUGGGGAAAACAGCUCGCAAACAAAAA